ACAGCAGUAGCCGCGGUAAUACGUAGGUGGCAAGCGUUGUCCGGAAUUAUUGGGCGUAAAGCGCGCGCAGGCGGCCUAUCCAGUCAGUCUUAAAAGUUCGGGGCUCAACCCCGUGAUGGGAUGGAGACUAGUAGGCUAGAGUAUCGGAGAGGAAAGCGGAAUUCCUAGUGUAGCGGUGAAAUGCGUAGAUAUUAGGAAGAACACCAGUGGCGAAGGCGGCUUUCUGGACGAAAACUGACGCUGAGGCGCGAAAGCCAGGGGAGCGAACGGGAUUAGAUACCCCAGUAGUCCCUGUCUCUUAUACA
rnacentral:rRNA from 1 species